rnacentral:misc_RNA from 1 species
GAUGAAGAACGCAGCGAAAUGCGAUAGUAGUGUGAAUUGCAGAAUUCAGUGAAUCAUCGAAUCUUUGAACGCACAUUGCGCCCCUUGGUAUUCCAUGGGGCAUGCCUGUUCGAGCGUCAUUUGUACCUUCAAGCUCUGCUUGGUGUUGGGUGUUUGUCUCGCCUCUGCGUGUAGACUCGCCUCAAAACAAUUGGCAGCCGGCGUAUUGAUUUCGGAGCGCAGUACAUCUCGCGCUUUGCACUCAUAACGACGACGUCCAAAAGUACAUUUUUACACUCUUGACCUCGGAUCAGGUAGGGAUACCCGCUGAACUUAAGCAUAUCAAUAAGCGGAGGA